rnacentral:ncRNA from 1 species
AACAUGUGCGCGAGCCGCGCGGGGCAGUACGAACCCGUAGGCGAAAUGAAGGUGAACGCCGGCGCGGUCCGGCGGAGGUUGGAUCCCGUCCCGUCGGGGCGGGCGCACUACCGGCCGAUCUUCUCCGCCCUGUCGGCGAGGUCGAGCGAGAGCGUGCAAGUCGGGACCCGAAAGAUGGUGAACUAUGCCUGAGGAGGUUGAAGCCAGAGGAAACUCUGGGGGAGGACCGUAGCGAUUCUGACGUGCAAAUCGAUCGUCAAAUUUGGGUAUAGGGGCGAAAGACUAAUCGAACCGUCUAGUAGCUGGUUCCCUUCGAAGUUUCCCUCAGGAUAGCUGGCGCUCUGUCGCAGUUUUAUCUGGUAAAGCGAAUGAUUAGAGGUCUUGGGGGCGAAACGCCCUCAACCUAUUCUCAAACUUUAAAUUGGUAAGAAGCCCGACUCGCUCGUUUGGAGCCGGGCAUGGAAUGCGAGUGCCAAGUGGGCCACUCUUGGUAAGCAGGACUGGCGAUGCGGGAUGAACCGAACGCCGGGUUAAGGCGCCCGACGCGACGCUCAUCAGAGCCCACAAAAGGUGUUGGUUGAUAUAGACAGCAGGACGGUGGCCAUGGAAGUCGGAAACCGCUAAGGAGUGUGUAACAACUCACCUGCCGAAUCAAUCAGCCCUGAAAAUGGAUGGCGCUGGAGC